AUUAACUCAGACGCAUUUACACGACGCAGAAAUUUACUCCUGAUUGUGCAUCUGAAUCAUCCAUCAUGAUGAAUUAUAUGUAUAUAUAUAAAACAACAGAUUUAUUUAUAUAUCAAUACCGACGGAAGAUAUCAUAUUUUCCAUCUUUUUCAGGAAAUCAAGCGAGGCUCCUCGUCAACUCUCAGACAACUACUCUAACAGUGCUGUCCACCUCGACGUCUGUGGCUCACUUCACUUGCGCGAGUGUAGGAAGCACACUGCCUGCACCUGCCGAAGGAAACGUCGUAACAUCAAUGUCAAUGCCGACAGCAGCUUAAGCAUCUCCGAGCCACUCAGUAGCAGCUUAUCGGAAACCGAGGUUAAGCAGUCCGAAGAAGGGGCUGACAAGGAAAAGUUCUUCUUCACGCUUUGGAAGACAUCCACUACCACCUUCGUAGUUACCUCUACCUCCUUCAACAGGGACAUCACCGUGUCCGUCACAUUAGCAUGCAGCU
rnacentral:lncRNA from 1 species